GAUGAACGCUGGCGGCGUGCCUAAUACAUGCAAGUCAAGCGAACAGAUGAGGAGCUUGCUCCUCUGACGUUAGCGGCGGACGGGUGAGUAACACGUGGAUAACCUACCUAUAAGACUAGGAUAACUUCGGGAAACCGGAGCUAAUACCGGAUAAUAUAUUGAACCGCAUGGUUCAAUAGUGAAAGACGGUUUUGCUGUCACUUAUAGAUGGAUCCGCGCCGCAUUAGCUAGUUGGUAAGGUAACGGCUUACCAAGGCAACGAUGCGUAGCCGACCUGAGAGGGUGAUCGGCCACACUGGAACUGAGACACGGUCCAGACUCCUACGGGAGGCAGCAGUAGGGAAUCUUCCGCAAUGGGCGAAAGCUUGACGGAGCAACGCCGCGUGAGUGAUGAAGGUCUUCGGAUCGUAAAACUCUGUUAUUAGGGAAGAACAAAUGUGUAAGUAACUAUGCACGUCUUGACGGUACCUAAUCAGAAAGCCACGGCUAACUACGUG
rnacentral:rRNA from 1 species